UGGGGGAUAUUGCACAAUGGGCGAAAGCCUGAUGCAGCGACGCCGCGUGGGGGAUGAAGGCUUUCGGGUUGUAAACCUCUUUCGCUAUCGAACAAGGCCCGCUUAGGGUGGGUUGAGGGUAGGUGGAGAAGAAGCGCCGGCUAACUACGUGCCAGCAGCCGCGGUAAUACGUAGGGCGCGAGUGUUGUCCGGAAUUAUUGGGCGUAAAGGGCUUGUAGGCGGCUUGUUGCGCCUGCUGUGAAAACGCGGGGCUUAACUUCGCGCGUGCAGUGGGUACGGGCAGGCUUGAGUGUGGUAGGGGUGACUGGAAUUCCAGGUGUAGCGGUGGAAUGCGCAGAUAUCUGGAGGAACACCGAUGGCGAAGGCAGGUCACUGGGCCAUUACUAACGCUGAGGAGCGAAAGCAUGGGUAGCGAACAGG
rnacentral:rRNA from 1 species